rnacentral:rRNA from 1 species
AGAGUUUGAUCCUGGCUCAGGACGAACGCUGGCGGCGCGCUUAACACAUGCAAGUCGUACGGGGCCAUGCCUUCGGGUGUGGUUCAGUGGCGAACGGGUGCGUAGCACGUGAGCAACCUGCCUUGGGGUGGGGGAUAACCCGGGGAAACCCGGGCUAAUACCGCAUGGCCUUGCGAUCCCGCAUGGGGAUGCAAGGAAAGGGGCUGCAAGGCCCUGCCUUGAGAGGGGCUCGCGGCGUAUCAGCUAGCUGGUGGGGUAACGGCCUACCAGGGCGACGACGCGUAGCCGAUCUGAGAGGAUGAUCGGCCACAUUGGGACUGAGAUACGGCCCAGACUCCUACGGGAGGCAGCAGUGGGGAAUCUUGCGCAAUGGGCGAAAGCCUGACGCAGCGACGCCGCGUGGGGGAGGAAGCCCUUCGGGGUGUAAACCCCUGUCAGGAGGGAAGAAAGGGCGCGCGAGGAAAUGCGUGCGUUUUGACGGUACCUCCAAAGGAAGCACCGGCUAACUCUGUGCCAGCAGCCGCGGUAAUACAGAGGGUGCGAGCGUUGUUCGGAAUUACUGGGCGUAAAGCGCGCGCAGGCGGUCCUUUAAGUCUACCCGUGAAAUGCCGGAGCUCAACUCCGUGCACGCCGGGGGAUACUGGAGGACUGGAGACGAGUAGAGGCAAGCGGAAUUCCGGGUGUAGCGGUGGAAUGCGUAGAGAUCCGGAAGAACACCGGAGGCGAAGGCGGCUUGCUGGGCUUGGUCUGACGCUGAGGCGCGAAAGCGUGGGGAGCGAACAGGAUUAGAUACCCUAGUAGUCC